GAUGAACGCUGGCGGCGUGCCUAAUACAUGCAAGUCGAGCGAACAGAUAAGGAGCUUGCUCCUUUGACGUUAGCGGCGGACGGGUGAGUUACACGUGGAUAACCUACCUAUAAGACUGGGAUAACUUCGGGAAACCGGAGCUAAUACCGGAUAACAUAUUGAACCGCAUGGUUCAAUAGUGAAAGGCGGCUUUGCUGUCACUUAUAGAUGGAUCCGCGCCGUAUUAGCUAGUUGGUAAGGUAACGGCUUACCAAGGCAACGAUACGUAGCCGACCUGAGAGGGGAAUCGGCCACACUGGAACUGGGACACGGUCCAGACGCCUACGGGAGGCAGCAGUAGGGAAUCUUCCGCAAUGGGCGAAGGCCUGACGGGGCAACGCGGCGUGGGGGAGAAGGUCUUCGGAUCGUAAAACUCUGUUAUCAGGGAAGAACAAAUGUGUAAGUAACUGUGCACAUCUUGACGGUACCUGAUCAGAAAGCCACGGCUAACUACGUG
rnacentral:rRNA from 1 species